rnacentral:rRNA from 1 species
CCUACGGGAGGCAGCAGUGGGGAAUUUUGGACAAUGGACGAAAGUCUGAUCCAGCAAUGCCGCGUGCAGGACGAAGGCCUUCGGGUUGUAAACUGCUUUUGUACGGAACGAAACGGCCUGCUUUAAUACAGUGGGCUAAUGACGGUACCGUAAGAAUAAGCACCGGCUAACUACGUGCCAGCAGCCGCGGUAAUACGUAGGGUGCGAGCGUUAAUCGGAAUUACUGGGCGUAAAGCGUGCGCAGGCGGUUAUAUAAGUCAGAUGUGAAAUCCCCGGGCUCAACCUGGGACCUGCAUUUGAGACUGUAUAGCUAGAGUACGGUAGAGGGGGAUGGAAUUCCGCGUGUAGCAGUGAAAUGCGUAGAUAUGCGGAGGAACACCGAUGGCGAAGGCAAUCCCCUGGACCUGUACUGACGCUCAUGCACGAAAGCGUGGGGAGCAAACAGGAUUAGAUACCCUGGUAGUCCACGCCCUAAACGAUGUCAACUGGUUGUUGGGUCUUCACUGACUCAGUAACGAAGCUAACGCGUGAAGUUGACCGCCUGGGGAGUACGGCCGCAAGGUUGAAACUCAAAGGAUUGACGG